rnacentral:lncRNA from 1 species
GCAUUACAAUAUGUGCAGACCUCACAUACAUAUUCCAUUACACGAUAACAGUUAAGAUACAUACUUAUCAAUUACAUAGCAAACAAUAAAGACAAGCUAGAACAUCAUCAAGAGAAAGAAUGGUUUGCUUACAAUUAAUAAGAAUCCAAAUUCUUCUUCUAUUUCUUAUAUAACCAUGUGAAGGUAAAUAGAGAAGGCACAUAAACAUCUUCAUUCAUCCACUCUCUUGUUGAUUAUUUUGAUUAUCCUGUGUAGGAGUAACCAAAGGAUCAAAAUCUGGAAACAUGCCAUUGGUAAUUUGUUGGUUUUGGCUAUUGAACAUGUCUUCAUUGAUUAAAGAAUUCAAGAAUGAGGAGAAGACAUCGUCCGUGCAACAAUUCAUUUCAUCAUCUUC